UACGGGGGGAGCAAGCGUUGUUCGGAUUUACUGGGCGUAAAGGGCGCGUAGGCGGUCGUGCAAAGUCACUUGUGAAAUCUCCGGGCUUAACUCGGAACGGUCAAGUGAUACUGUCGGACUAGAGUACAGAAGGGGCAACUGGAAUUCUCGGUGUAGCGGUGAAAUGCGUAGAUAUCGAGAGGAACACCUGCGGCGAAGGCGGGUUGCUGGGCUGAUACUGACGCUGAGGCGCGAAAGCCAGGGGAGCGAACGGG
rnacentral:rRNA from 1 species